rnacentral:rRNA from 1 species
CUACGGGUGGCUCCAGUGAGGAAUAUUGCACAAUGGGGGGAACCCUGAUGCAGCAACGCCGCGUGGAGGAUGACGCAUUUCGGUGUGUAAACUCCUUUUAUAUGUCAAGAAAAUGACGGUAGCAUAUGAAUAAGCACCGGCCAACUCCGUGCCAGCAGCCGCGGUAAUACGGAGGGUGCAAGCGUUACUCGGAAUCACUGGGCGUAAAGGACGCGUAGGCGGGUUGGAAAGUCAGGUGUGAAAUCCUACAGCUUAACUGUAGAACUGCACUUGAAGCUUCUAAUCUAGAGUAUGGGAGGGGGAGAUGGAAUUAGUGGUGUAGGGGUAAAAUCCGUAGAUAUCACUAGGAAUACCUAAAGCGAAGGCGAUCUCCUGGAACAUUACUGACGCUAAGGCGUGAAAGCGUGGGGAGCAAACAGGAUUAGAUACCCCCGUAGUC